rnacentral:lncRNA from 1 species
AGAUGAUCUGAAAAUCCCAUAGGCCUUCCAGGGCUACCCUGACACUUCCUCCGGGGAACAAGCUUUCGGGACCAUCUGAGGCUGACCUUUAGUUGGCCAAAGGGCACUAUUUCCUGUUCCUGGCCAGAGCAGUAGGGCCAAAAGAAUCAUGGUUUCCUGCUUCCUGAUGAAAGGACCAUGUGAAGUAUGGAGGGAACAGGUUCUGAUGAUGAAACCUGGGAGUCUGCACUGGAUAUGGGGAUCCCACUGGAGUCUUCAACUAUACCACAAGAGGAGACAUGAUCGUCUGCUAGCAGCCUCAAGGAAGCUAUUUCCACAUGUUCACACAACUGGGUAUAGUGUGGAGCCUGUGUGCAUGGGAACUGAGGUUUGACUACUUUUCAAAGCUCUAAUCUGCCUUUUGGUCCACUUCAAGAGCCUUGGGUACAGAGCUCACACCUCUGACAGACAUGUGCUUAUGACACUGGACCAAACUCCGGAAGCAAUCAGUGUGCUUGAAGAUUGAAUCGCUGAAUGAAGAACGAACGAGGAAUGGAGUGUUGUCUUUAUGUUAAAAUGCUUUUGUGAUUUAAAAAAAGAUUAGUUUUAUAAUG